CGAUUCCGGAGAGGGAGCCCGAGAAACGGCUACCACAUCUAAGGAAGGCAGCAGGCGCGCAAAUUACCCAAUCACGACACGUGGUGGUAGUGACAAGAAAUAACAAAGCAAGCCAGUAUUCUGGUUUUGCUAUUGGAAUGAGUAGAAUUUAAAUCUCUUUACGACUAUCAAUUGGAGGGCAAGUCUGGUGCCAGCAGCCGCGGUAAUUCCAGCUCCAAUAGCGUAUAUUAAAGUUGUUGCGGUUAAAGAGCUCGUAGUUGGAUUUCUGUUGAGGACGGCCGGUCCGCACUAUGUGCGUGUAUCUGGUUCGGCCUCGGCAUCCUCUUGAGGAACGUUUCUGCGCUUGAUUGCGUGGAGCGGUAUUCAAGACUUUUACUUUGAGGAAAUUAGAGUGUUCGCGGCAGGCAAGCGCCUUGAAUAUGUUAGCAUGGAAUAAUAAUAUAGGAUCUUGGUUCUAUUUGUUGGUUUCUAGGGCUAAGGUAAUGAUUAAUAGGGAUAAUUGGGGGCAUUUGUAUUAACGCGUCAGAGGCGGAAUUCUUGGAUUGCGUUACGACAAACUACUGCGAAAGCAUUUGCCAAGGAUGUUUUCAUUGAUCAAGAACGAAAGUAUGGGGAUCGAAGAUGAUUA
rnacentral:rRNA from 1 species